UGGUCGUCUAGCUUAGUUGCAUUAGUUCGGCGAGUGAACAGGGAAGAGCCCAGCACCGAAGCCUUUGGUCGUUUGGCCAUUUGGCAAUGUGGUGUUCAGGUUGGUAAUACAUCAUUUUUCGGUUUCAAUUUGCAAUCAUCUGGGACGGCAUCCUGGACAUGGCCCAUGGAGGGUGAAAGGCCCAAGAGUGGAGGUCAGGCAGGCCAGUGCUCCUCUGGAUCGACCUUGGAGUCGGGUUGUUUGGGAAUGCAGCCCAAAGUGGGUGGUAAACUCCAUCCAAGGCUAAAUACUAGCACGAGUCCGAUAGCGAACAAGUACCGUGAGGGAAAGUUGAAAAGUACUUUGAAGAGAGAGUAAACAGUGCGUGAAACCGCUCAGAGGUAAACGGGUGGAGUUGAACUGCAUACUCCGUGAAUUCAGCCAGUGAGGAUGUUUUGGGCUUGGACAAAUGGGUUAGACACUGGGGUAUACGGAGCUGUAUGUUUCGGUCAUUUUUGGGCCGGGGAUGCACGCUACGCUUACCACGCGUUGUGCGCCUCAGUUGUUAUCUGCCCCCUUGCUGGUGCAUUUUCGCGGAGUGAUCACCACGACCGGCGCUGCUGUCCGGCUGCUUUGGUCAAACUGGCCAUUCAACGUUCCUGUGGCGUUGUUGGUCGGGAUGGCAGGUGGCCCGUUGGCUUGCCUCGGCUUGCCUUCGGGUGUAAUUAGCUGGCCGAAGCGGUGCUGUGCAGUGCGUCGGAGAUGGCGGCUUGUUGUGCGUGCCUGCGUGAUUUGCUUUCCAGAGUAUCCUGGUUUGGUUGCUAUGUCGCCUGUUUCGGCAGGUCGAGUGAUAGCUGGGAUUCUAUUGGUUGGCAGUUGCGUGGGUGGCAUCAUUGAAGGGCCUAAAGUCUGUGGUGUUGUGGUAGACUAUCCACCCGACCCGUCUUGAAACACGGACCAAGGAGAGUAACAUGUGCGCGAGUCAUUGGGUGCUACGAAACCCAAAGGCGCAGUGAAAGUAAAGGUCUGGCUUGUCCAGUCUGAGGUGAGAUCCUGUCGUUUCUCACGCGCGGUACUACCAAGCAUGGAGCGGCAGGCGCAUCACCGGCCCGUCCCAUGACGUAGACAUGGUCCUUGUGGUCGUGCGUCGUCGGGGCGGAGCAUGAGCGUACAUGUUGAGACCCGAAAGAUGGUGAACUAUGCUUGCGCAGGUUGAAGCCAGAGGAAACUCUGGUGGAGGACAAGCAGCGAUUCUGACGUGCAAAUCGAUCGUCAAACGUGAGUAUAGGGUCGAAAGUACUUGUUCGACCGCACCCCCUUC
rnacentral:rRNA from 1 species